CUUGCAAAACGUUCUAUCGCUCCGGGCUUGUACCGGGGAGGAAAGUCCGGGCAACACAGAGCAUCCUGCUUCCUAACGGGAAGGCGCCGGCAGCCGGCGACAGCAAGUGCCACAGAGAAUAUACCGCCCUGUCCCGAUAGCUAUCGGAUGGUGGUAAGGGUGAAAACGUGAGGUAAGAGCUCACGGCUUUUCCGGGCGACCGGGAUCGCGGUAAACCUCAGGAGUUGAAAAACCAAAUAGGUUCUGAAAGUGAAGCUGCUCGCUUCCGUACCCGCAAGGGUCGUCAGAAUGGGUAGGUUGAUAAAGCGUGCCGGCAACGGUAUGCGUAGAUUAAUGAUAGAAAUCUCCGCAAGGAGACACAGAACCCGGCUUACAGAUUUGCUGCUGUA
rnacentral:RNase_P_RNA from 1 species